UCUGCUACGGAGUAUCGUAUCAGGAGCGCAUUUAUACGAACCGAUUUGACAGUUGUAAAUGCACUAUCUGGUACGACAUUCCUAGGCGA
rfam:Asian citrus Psyllid, Diaphorina citri - Florida Strain, whole genome shotgun sequence.